rnacentral:tRNA from 1 species
GUAGCUCAGCUUGGUAGAGCGACUUGGUUUGGGACCAAGGGGUCGCAGGUUCGAAUCCUGUCUUCCCGA